GCUUGUCUCAAAGAUUAAGCCAUGCAUGUUCAAGUAUAGCAAGUGUACAGUGAAACUGCGAAUGGCUCAUUAAAUCAGUUAUAAUUUAUUUGAUAGUGAAAUUGUACAUGGAUAACCGUAGUAAUUCUAGAGCUAAUACAUGCAUCAAACCCCGACUUCUGGAAGGGGUGUAUUUAUUAGAUUGAAACCAAUGCGGGGCAACCCGGUAUCUGGUGAUUCAUAAUAACUUUCGGAUCGUCUUUGACGAUGCAUCAUUCAAGUUUCUGCCCUAUCAGCUUUGGAUGGUAGGGUAUUGGCCUACCAUGGCUUUAACGGGUAACGGAGAAUUAGGGUUCGAUUCCGGAGAGGGAGCCUGAGAAAUGGCUACCACAUCCAAGGAAGGCAGCAGG
rnacentral:rRNA from 1 species